UGGGGAAUAUUGCGCAAUGGGGGGAACCCUGACGCAGCCAUGCCGCGUGAAUGAAGAAGGCCUUCGGGUUGUAAAGUUCUUUCGGUAAUGAGGAAGGGAUGUUGUUAAAUAGAUAGCAUCAUUGACGUUAAUUACAGAAGAAGCACCGGCUAACUCCGUGCCAGCAGCCGCGGUAAUACGGAGGGUGCGAGCGUUAAUCGGAAUAACUGGGCGUAAAGGGCACGCAGGCGGACUUUUAAGUGAGAUGUGAAAUCCCCGAGCUUAACUUGGGAACUGCAUUUCAGACUGGGAGUCUAGAGUACUUUAGGGAGGGGUAGAAUUCCACGUGUAGCGGUGAAAUGCGUAGAGAUGUGGAGGAAUACCGAAGGCGGAGGCAGCCCCUUGGGAAUGUACUGACGCUCAUGUGCGAAAGCGUGGGGAGCAAACAGGAUUAGAUACCCUGGUAGUCCACGCUGUAAACGCUGUCGAUUUGGGGAUUGGGCUAUAUGCUUGGUGCCCGAAGCUAACGUGAUAAAUCGACCGCCUGGGGAGUACGGCCGCAAGGUU
rnacentral:rRNA from 1 species